rnacentral:rRNA from 1 species
UACGUAGGGUGCGAGCGUUGUCCGGAAUUAUUGGGCGUAAAGAGCUUGUAGGCGGUUUGUCGCGUCUGCUGUGAAAAUCCGGGGCUCAACCCCGGACUUGCAGUGGGUACGGGCAGGCUAGAGUGUGGUAGGGGAGACUGGAAUUCCUGGUGUAGCGGUGAAAUGCGCAGAUAUCAGGAGGAACACCGAUGGCGAAGGCAGGUCUCUGGGCCGCUACUGACGCUGAGACGCGAGGGCGUGGGGAGCAAACAGG